rnacentral:rRNA from 1 species
GAUGAACGCUAGCGGGAGGCCUAACACAUGCAAGCCGAGCGGGAUUUGUUGGUUAGCUUGCUAACUAACAAUGAGAGCGGCGUACGGGUGCGUAGCACGUGUGCAACCUGCCUUUAUCUGGGGGAUAGCCUUUCGAAAGGAAGAUUAAUACCCCAUAACAUAUUGAUUGGCAUCAGUUAAUAUUGAAAGCUCCGGCGGAUAGAGAUGGGCACGCGUAAGAUUAGCUAGUUGGUGAGGUAACGGCUCACCAAGGCUGCGAUCUUUAGGGGGCCUGAGAGGGUGAUCCCCCACACUGGUACUGAGACACGGACCAGACUCCUACGGGAGGCAGCAGUGAGGAAUAUUGGACAAUGGGUGAGAGCCUGAUCCAGCCAUCCCGCGUGAAGGACUAAGGUCCUAUGGUUUGUAAACUUCUUUUAUACAGGGAUAAACCUACUCUCGUGAGGGUAGCUGAAGGUACUGUAUGAAUAAGCACCGGCUAACUCCGUG